AUCCUGGCUCAGGAUGAACGCUAGCUACAGGCUUAACACAUGCAAGUCGAGGGGGCAGCAUUUCAGUUUGCUUGCAAACUGGAGAUGGCGACCGGCGCACGGGUGAGUAACACGUAUCCAACCUGCCGAUAACUCGGGGGAUAGCCUUUCGAAAGAAAGAUUAAUACCCGAUGGUAUAAUUAGACCGCAUGGUCUAAUUAUUAAAGAAUUUCGGUUUAUCGAUGGGGAGUGCGUUCCAUUAGGCAGUUGGUG
rnacentral:rRNA from 1 species